AGAGUUUGAUCAUGGCUCAGGACGAACGCUGGCGGCGUGCUUAACACAUGCAAGUCGAGCGGAAAGGCCCUUCGGGGUACUCGAGCGGCGAACGGGUGAGUAACACGUGAGCAACCUGCCCUUAGCACCGGGAUAGCUCCGGGAAACCGGAAUUAAUACCGGAUAUGACCACGGUCGGCAUGGACCAUGGUGGAAAGGUU
rnacentral:rRNA from 1 species